UAAUACAGAGGUCUCAAGCGUUGUUCGGAUUCAUUGGGCGUAAAGGGUGCGUAGGUGGCGCGCUAAGUCAGGUGUGAAAUUUCGGAGCUUAACUCCGAAACUGCAUUUGAUACUGGCGUGCUUGAGGACUGGAGAGGAGACUGGAAUUCAUGGUGUAGCAGUGAAAUGCGUAGAGAUCAUGAGGAAGACCAGUGGCGAAGGCGGGUCUCUGGACAGUCCCUGACACUGAGGCACGAAGGCCAGGGGAGCAAACGG
rnacentral:rRNA from 1 species